rnacentral:rRNA from 1 species
UACGGAGGGUGCAAGCGUUAUCCGGAUUCACUGGGUUUAAAGGGUGCGUAUGAGGGCAGGUAAGUCAGUGGUGAAAUCUUUGGGCUUAACCCGAAAACUGCCAUUGAUACUAUCUGUCUUGAAUCCCGUGGAGGUGAGCGGAAUAUGUCAUGUAGCGGUGAAAUGCUUAGAUAUGACAUAGAACACCAAUUGCGAAGGCAGCUCGCUACACGAAGAUUGACUCUGAGGCACGAAAGCGUGGGGAUCAAACAGG